rnacentral:rRNA from 1 species
UACGUAGGGGGCUAGCGUUGUCCGGAAUCAUUGGGCGUAAAGCGCGUGUAGGCGGCCCGGUAAGUCCGCUGUGAAAGUCGGGGGCUCAACCCUCGGAUGCCGGUGGAUACUGUCGGGCUAGAGUUCGGAAGAGGCAAGUGGAAUUCCUGGUGUAGCGGUGAAAUGCGCAGAUAUCAGGAGGAACACCAAUGGCGAAGGCAGCUCGCUGGGACGGUACUGACGCUGAGGCGCGAAAGCGUGGGGAGCAAACAGG